rnacentral:rRNA from 1 species
UACGUAGGGGGCAAGCGUUGUCCGGAAUCAUUGGGCGUAAAGAGCGUGUAGGCGGCCAGAUAAGUCCGCUGUGAAAACUCGAGGCUCAACUUCGAGCUGUCGGCGGAAACUAUCUGGCUAGAGUCCGGAAGAGGAGAGUGGAAUUCCUGGUGUAGCGGUGAAAUGCGCAGAUAUCAGGAGGAACACCGGUGGCGAAGGCGGUUCUCUGGGCAUGUCCUGACGCUGAGGAGCGAAAGUGUGGGGAGCGAACAGG